rnacentral:rRNA from 1 species
CGUGGGUAACCUGCCCUUAAGUCUGGGAUACCAUUUGGAAACAGAUGCUAAUACCGGAUAAUAACAGAUGAUGCCUAUCAACUGUUUAAAAGAUGGUUCUGCUAUCACUCUUGGAUGGACCUGCGGUGCAUUAGCUAGUUGGUAGGGUAACGGCCUACCAAGGCGAUGAUGCAUAGCCGAGUUGAGAGACUGAUCGGCCACAUCGGGACUGAGACACGGCCCAAACUCCUACGGGAGGCAGCAGUC